UUGCCAUCCUGCUGUUUAUUUCUGUUAUGAUGUCAAGUGAACAGAAGUCCAGUGAACUGAAUGAACCUAACGAGUAUUCAGAGAACACACAUGAUACUGUCCUUGUUCACCUCAUGGGGAAAAGAGGAGAUGCAAUGCAGCGGUUAAGGGCAGAAAAUCCAAGAUCACGACUUCGGCUUUCUGAUUUGGAAUGUGGCCCAAAGCCUGUUGCUUAAUAUCUCCCUCCUUCAGGUUUACGCAGGAGAAUAAAAGCUACCUUGCUAAGGUGUUGCAAGGCUUAAACAAUUA